rnacentral:rRNA from 1 species
CCAACUCUCCACUGCGGACGGCUAAUGCCUCAAUCGUCUUCUAAACAGUGCGCGGUACAACAUAUUGAGUAUAAGUAAAAAGCCCGCGCACUGUCUAAAACAACCUGAGCUUUGGCCUAAACAGUACGACUGCCAGGCGAACAAAAAACAGUCUUUGAGACGACAAAGUCGACGCCCAGCGUCCAUUUUCAGAUAUGUUCAUUAGUUCGAUGAUGGGAUAGUGAUAGUCGUACACUACACGAGAUGUAAUGACUCGUCCACGGGCCGAGGCCGGCGCUCGUACCCAUGGGCAUGCGGAGCUGCCGCCGUCGUCGUCCCAUCACGACGGGCAUCUUCUUCAACUCGCCGCGGCCAACGCUACCCAUCAUCAUCGGCAUGCCCAUCAUAAGCUGGUGCCGGCGCCGGCGGCCGAAGAAGGGCAGGAGG